AUGGUUAGCUCAGUUGGUUAGAGCGCUACGUUGACAUCGUAGAGGUCACUGGUUCGAAUCCUGUACCGUCC
rnacentral:tRNA from 1 species